UGUAAGUACUGCGGAGUAUUUUCUUUUUCUUUUCUUUUCUUUCGUGAUUCAAAGAUUGUGCUUAAUGAAUAUUCAUAACUUUAAGAUAUCCUGAUAUCAAGCUCAUGAAUAAAGUUGCAAGAAUUUCUCCAUUUGUUUCUAAAUCGUACAAAGGACUUUUUAAAUUGUUUCUACGAUUAUCUAAAUCGUACAAACGACUUUCUAAAUCGUACAAACGACUUUUUAAAUCGUAAAAACGGCUUUUUAAGUCGUGCAAACGAUUUAAUUAAUCAUACCAACGAUUUUCUAAAUCGUACAAACGACUUUGUAAAUCGUACUACGAUUCAAUAAAUCAUACAAACGAUUUUCUAAAUCGUACAAAGGUGGGCGAUAAAUCUAGUACUGCCGACUCCCGAUGGUCCCGGAUUGCGAUGUUUUAAAGAUAAUAUUGAAACCGGCGAACAAAAUUACUUCAUACUUCUCGGGAACAAUCUUUAUGUACAAAUUGAUUCACACAAUUAAAAAAAAAAAACAAUAAUAAUAAUUUUAAAUUCUUAACCUUGAAAUGUCGCCUACUCAAAAGCGUAUUUAACGGUCUUUUCAGUUAACUAAUAUAAAUAUACCUUUGUGAUUCAAAGCUUGGAAAACUUAUAUGCAUCGGAGGCGACAAUGUUCAAACAUGUGUUCGGAGAUUACUGUCCUUUUUGAUGGUGACAAACUAAGUGCUCAUUGGAAUUGGAGUGGGAAAGGUACAAACAGAGGGAAGUCAAAUCUAGAAUUAAGAGACAUAAUAAAGGCUGUCAGGACAAAACAAAUCUGUAGUGGUGUAACUGACAAUGAAAUCGCCAAAGAUCGAGAUAGGGGAGGCGACAAAGGGAGGAAAAAGAACGAGCGGAAAAGGCAACAAAGGGACAGUGAGGAAGUGAGCCAGGAUUAAAAACUUUUAAAUCAUUAUUUUUCAGAAAUGUCUACCAUCAUCUAUUUCAAACCUAUGUCGUAACUUUUGACAAUUUAAUUCAUAUAAAAAAAUCAUUUUACAGAGAAUCAUUUGUAAUGUUUUCUUUCUAAAUGUAUGCAUUAAUAAUGAAUGCAGGUCAAAA